UGAGAGUGCCAAUGUUGAGGCUGCUCGACUUCUUCAAGAAGCUGCAAGGAUUUUGAAGAGAGAGUCAGAAAGCACAGCCACUGCUGGCUCAGGAUCACAGACUGGUACUGGGACGUGUUCACCCAGUUCUUUUAGAGGUUUGUUUAACAACAUGCAAACCUCACUAGCUGAAGUACAACAGGGAACCCCUACAGUCGAUUCAGGCAGGAUUCCCUGCCCUAGAAAUGACCACAUUCAAAGAAAUCUUGUGCAGCUGUUUCAGCCAUGUGAUCGGGCAAGGGGGCAAAAGAUGUUCCAGAAAACUGGAAAGUGUAAACGGAAAACUACACACAGUGAAACCUGGACACGUGAUUUCUUUUGCUUACAGAGACCAAUGUUCAAACUGUGCCCAAUGGAGAAGACCGCAUUGGUUUACAGAAUUCAGCCCUUGGUAGGAAAAAAAUAACAUUUGCAGACAAAAAUUGAGGAUUUUCUGAACUAUGUGAAACUCUGUUUUCACAUUUUCCACAAUUGAAAGGUGCAGGAGGCUUUCAGAUGUUUUGGUCCGUUAAUAAAACCAAACAAUUGGCACCAAUUCCAAUGCCAGCCGGUGAGUACAGUGAGAAAUUUCUGAGAACUGAGAGUGGCCUGAACCAGGCAAUGGCCUACAUUCGACCACUUCAGAAAAACCUGGAGAGCAUUGCGAAGCGUGAGGCUGAAGAGGUAAGAACAGUUGUCAAAAUCUGAUCUCCUCUAUAUUCCUUCUUCUUCGCCUCCCUCUACAGACCUUUCUAUCUGAAUUUCCCUUGAUUCUAUCACCCUUUCCCCUUCCUCCUCUGCCCAAACCUUGGUGUCACCUUUGAUUCCUCCCUUUCCAACUCUCAACAUAUUUCUUCACUGGCACGCUCUUACUGUCUCUUUUUGAGCAAUAUCUAUUGCAUUAAACCUGCUGGACUAUGGCCCUCGACGAUCAGGACUGGAGAUCACUGGGUUAAGGUGUAAAUGCACAUGUAACACAUACUAUAAAAAUGAAGCAUGUUAAAAAUAAAUGUGUGUUUGUUUGUUGUAGUGUCAAGAGGUGGUCAUGGAGAAGUGCAAAAGGUGUGGAAAAGAUAUCCCUCUGCAAUGCCUUUCAGAACACAUUGAAAACUGUGGAAGGUCAUCUGUUUUUCUGGUGUAUUUGUCAUAUAAAUUGCUCAUUUACUUUUACAACAUAGUGGUUGACUUGUAUCUGUGGUAAAUAUGUUUUGACAUUCAAAGCAUGUAUGUCUUUGUUAACUGUUUUCAGACAGCCUGAUGACACUGAUUUGGAAGAUGAUGUCGUUAUGGAGAUAUCUGAAGAGACUCAACUAUCUAUGUCAUCACAUGACAACACAUCCCAUGUUCAAAAUUAUUACAACAAGUGCCAUGCUUCUUCUAGUGGACUGUACAGAGACUAUGUGGACCUUGUCAGUGAAGACAAUGUAUUUAGUGAUUCUGAAGAAGAGCAGCUGAAUAGAGUUCUAGAGGAAUCGCUAAAGGAAAGCUCGCAUGCAGCUUUUAAAUUUCAAAGUCAGACAAUUAAAAAGGAACUGGACGAGGCGGUUCGACUGGUAUGUUCUUCAGCGAACAAGAACACAGUUUGAAAGGUUGCAAGAAGGACUCCGUUCUCUCAGUGUAAUGGAUUCUAUGAAGGCCCACCCUGAAACCUUCAAACCUAUUUUCUGUCAAUCGACAGAGAAGCUGACUGCUGAUGUGCUUGAAGAGCUAUUCAAAGAGCAGCGAUCUGACUGUGGGAGUAACAAGUUUGAGAGAGAAAAUGAAGCAGUAUGUCAUUGGAGGGAUUAUCUCUUGGAUGUAGAGAUGGGGAUUUGUGGAGUUACCCUGGAGGACAUCCUUGUCUUUGCCACAGGAAGUGACAGUGUACCAGCAUUGGGCUUCAACCCUGCUCCAACUGUUGAAUUUUUGCAUGAUGGUUCACGGUUUCCACUUGCAAACACAUGUUCCAGCAUAUUAAGGGUACCAUGCAGGCAUUCAUACGAGUCCUUCAGGGAUGAUAUGGACUUUGGAAUUAAAAAUUCCCCAGGCUUUGGAAGGGCAUAACCAAAUUCCUUUGCUUACCAUACCUGUAGUCAAAGGGCACAAGUAUGUUCGAUCCUAAGAACAAUGUUAUGCAUGCCAAAGUGCUGCUAGAAUUUUUAUGUUUGUCAUUUUUGUUAUCUAUAAUUCUUUGUACACUUAAAUUUAGCAAGUGAGUCACCUUUGGUUGAGAAUUCUUACCUGUAGUUAUUAUUAUUGCAGAUAUUUAGCAGACACCUUUAUUAAGCACUACAAUUCAAUUUACUAAAAUAUUAAAAUGUAAUAGUUCAAUCUGUCAAUAUUAACAUCAGUGCUGAAAUGUUACAAGCCUUUAAAUAAAAGUAUAGGCUGGAUCUUUUCCCUCCUAAGGAUUUUUGGUAAUAGAGAAUUCUUAACAGUUGUUAAGUUGUUCCAAGAAAGAACAUUUUACUUUUCCUCCUUAUUAAUAAACACUAUUUGCAUUUCUGUGA